rnacentral:tRNA from 1 species
GGGGCUGUGACGCAGCUGGUAGCGUGCUUCCUUCGCAUCUAACAAGAUUCGAAUAUGGAAGAAGUCAUGGGUUCGAAUCCUAUCAUCUCCA